rfam:Myotis brandtii contig257218, whole genome shotgun sequence.
GAAAGUUCUUGGGUGAUGCAUCCUGGAAUCAGUCUCCCUCCUCUCCGGUUCCGGGUGCAUCACCCAAGAACCGCA